GACGAACGCUGGCGGCGUGCUUAACACAUGCAAGUUGAACGGAAAGGCCCUGCUUUUGUGGGGUGCUCGAGUGGCGAACGGGUGAGUAACACGUGAGUAACCUGCCCUUGACUUUGGGAUAACUUCAGGAAACUGGGGCUAAUACCGGAUAGGAGCUCCUGCUGCAUGGUGGGGGUUGGAAAGUUUCGGCGGUUGGGGAUGGACUCGCGGCUUAUCAGCUUGUUGGUGGGGUAGUGGCUUACCAAGGCUUUGACGGGUAGCCGGCCUGAGAGGGUGACCGGCCACAUUGGGACUGAGAUACGGCCCAGACUCCUACGGGAGGCAGCAGUGGGAAAUAUUGCACAAUGGGCGGAAGCCUGAUGCAGCAACGCCGCGUGCGGGAUGACGGCCUUCGGGUUGUAAACCGCUUUCGCCUGUGACGAAGCGUGAGUGACGGUAAUGGGUAAAGAAGCACCGGCUAACUACGUG
rnacentral:rRNA from 1 species